UACGUAGGGUGCAAGCGUUGUCCGGAAUUAUUGGGCGUAAAGAGCUCGUAGGCGGUCUGUCGCGUCGGCUGUGAAAGCCCGGGGCUUAACCCCGGGUCUGCAGUCGAUACGGGCAGGCUAGAGUUCGGUAGGGGAGAUCGGAAUUCCUGGUGUAGCGGUGAAAUGCGCAGAUAUCAGGAGGAACACCAAUGGCGAAGGCAGAUCUCUGGGCCGUAACUGACGCUGAGGAGCGAAAGCAUGGGGAGCGAACAGG
rnacentral:rRNA from 1 species